rnacentral:rRNA from 1 species
UACGUAGGGUGCAAGCGUUGUCCGGAAUUACUGGGCGUAAAGGGUGCGCAGGCGGCCUGGCGCGUCGCGAGUGAAAUCUCCUGGCUCAACUGGGAGGGUGGUCGCGAGACGGCUGGGCUUGAGGCUCGGUGAGGGGCGUGGAAUUCCGGGUGGAGCGGUGAAAUGCGUAGAGAUCCGGAGGAACACCGACGGCGUAGGCAGCGCCCUAGACGAGACCUGACGCUCAGGCACGAAAGCGCGGGGAGCGAACAGG